rnacentral:rRNA from 1 species
UACAGAGGUCUCAAGCGUUGUUCGGAAUUACUGGGCGUAAAGGGCUCGUAGGCGGCCAACUAAGUCGGAUGUGAAAUCCCCAAGCUUAACUUGGGAACUGCAUCCGAUACUGGAUGGCUUGAAUCCGGGAGAGGGAUGCAGAAUUCCAGGUGUAGCGGUGAAAUGCGCAGAUAUCAGGAAGAACACCCGUGGCGAAGGCGGCUCUCUGGUACGUGACUGACGCUGAGACGCGAAAGCGUGGGGAGCGAACAGG